UGAGCACGUUCUGAUCCUCCAGAUGUCAUUGAACUGCAACUCCCAGCCGUCCUUGUCCAUAUCACUGAAUGUGAAGGAUGAUGAGUAGUGCAGUUCUAUAAUAACAAUACAAUAUGCUAGUGAUAUAAUACACUGUAUGUAAAUAUUAUUUGUAAGCUGCUCUGAGCCCUUCGGGGUGAGAAGGGCAGGGUAUAAAUGUAGUAAAUUAAAUAAAUAAAUAAAUAAAUAUUCAGCAUCAGCAUUUGAUGCCAAAGCAGUCUUAGUCAACAUAGGCAGUGCUGAAGGAUGAUAGUUGCUGUUGUCAAACAACAGCUUAGAGGGCCACCUAUUUUCUAGCCCCAGGCUAAGUUGUCAGUGUGUCUAUCACCUUGAGUCUCUUAUUGCGAUUUCAAGGUCUAUACUUUUCUGCUUUCCUCAGCUGGCUUCCGUAGAAGUAUGCGCUUGUGCCGCCGGAAAUCUCGCAACAGUCACUUACCAUGUUAUGCCCGGUGUCCUGGUGGAUGCUACAGUGCUGUAGCUGCGCCAUAUGAAGAAGUAGUGAGAUAUCAGAGACUCCCCGGUGAUAGAAACCGAUUAAUUGUCCUAAUAGGUCCAUCUGGUGUUGGAGUAAAUGAACUGCGGCGGCAGCUUAUUGGUAUAAAUCCU
rnacentral:lncRNA from 11 species